rnacentral:rRNA from 1 species
UACGUAGGGGGCAAGCGUUGUCCGGAUUUAUUGGGCGUAAAGAGCGUGUAGGCGGCUAGGUAGGUCCGUUGUGAAAACUCGAGGCUCAACCUCGAGACGCCGAUGGAAACCAUCUAGCUAGAGUCCGGAAGAGGAGAGUGGAAUUCCUGGUGUAGCGGUGAAAUGCGCAGAUAUCAGGAAGAACACCCCUGGCUAAGGCGGCUCUGUAGGACGGUACUGACGCUGAGACGCGAAAGCGUGGGGAGCGAACA